CAACUUUCCCUGAAGCCCUGUCAUGUGGUGACUGUCUUAUUUCUCACAUCCCUUGUACACAGCACAUGGAGGUGAGCUAAACUGUUUUAAAGAGUUGUCUAUACUUUCCAUUGUUUCUCUCCCUGAAAUGAAGAGGAAUGACAUAAUAUGACAUACGUAACAGGAUCACUUUGGCUGCUCUGUUGGGGAUAGCAAUAAUCCAGAGAGAAGGCAGAAUGGAGACCUAGGAAUCUUCUUGCAUACAAUUUAACCUGUGCCUAAAUCACUUCCUAAUUUAUUAUUUUAACAAGAGAUUUUCUAGAUUUUACAAAUAA